GUCUUUGUAGUUCAAUGGUAGAACGCCUUUCACCUGAAAGGAGGUCCAAGUUCAAAUCUUGGCAGGACU
rnacentral:tRNA from 1 species